CAAUAGCGUAUAUUAAAGUUGUUGCGGUUAAAAAGCUCGUAGUUGGAUUUCUGCUGAGGACGACCGGUCCGCCCUCCGGGUGAGCAUCUGGUUCGGCCUUGGCAUCUUCUUGGUGAACGUAUCUGCACUUGACUGUGUGGUGCGGUACCCAGGACUUUUACUUGAAAAAAUUAGAGUGUUCAAGGCAGGCAAUCGUCAUGAAUACUAUAGCAUGGAAUAAUGGAAUAGGACUUUGGUUCAUUUUAUUGGUUAUUGAACCUUAGUAAUGAUUAACAGGGACAGUUGGGGGCAUUAGUAUUUAAUUGUCAGAGGUGAAAUUCUUGGAUUUAUUAAAGACUAACUUAUGCGAAAGCAUUUGCCAAGGAUGUUUUCAUUAAUCAAGAACGAAAGUUAGGGGAUCAAAGACGAUCAGAUACCA
rnacentral:rRNA from 1 species